rnacentral:rRNA from 1 species
UACGUAGGGUGCAAGCGUUGUCCGGAAUUAUUGGCGUAAAGAGCUCGUAGGCGGUUUGUUGCGUCGGCUGUGAAAUCCCGAGGCUCAACCUCGGGUCUGCAGUCGAUACGAGCAAACUAGAGUGUUGCAGGGGAGACUGGAAUUCCUGGUGUAGCGGUGAAAUGACGCCAGAUAUCAGGAGGGAACACCCGGUGGCGGAAGGCGGGUCUCUGGGCAAACUACUGACGCUGGAGGAGCGAAAGCGUGGGGAGCGAAACAGG